rnacentral:tRNA from 1 species
GCCGCCUUAGCUCAGUGGUAGAGCACUUCCUUGGUAAGGAAGAGGUCGUGGGUUCAAAUCCCACAGGUGGCU